GUCCCGGAAGUAGUCCUUUCCGGUGUGCGUCGGCAGCAGGCUGCCCGUCUCGCGGUUCGAUGAGCUUGGAGCUGUGCCAUUUGUUGCUUUUGCCAUCAACGUGAACACUGGGACCGGGACUUCAUAAAGGCAUCCAAGAUCUGGAGCGAGACUGCAUAAGGAACAUAAUGACUGACAGGAGGGGUGUCCUCGUGUGGGAGGAGAUGGAUUCUCAGACUGGAGAGGAUGAGGUGCAGAGAGCCAUGAUCAAAAGAAAAGCAACAACUUGAGGGGAGAAACACCACUGAAUUCAAGAAAUAAGUCAUGACAAAGCCGUGUUGGUCUUGCUGCCCCAUCUUGUCUUUGGCAACACACAUGUCUUCAAGGUAAAAGUAAUCUUAAUUGUUCGUCAUUUAUAUAUAUUGUGAAUUGUUUUCUGCAUAGUACUAUAUGUAUUGGACCGUUGAAAAGAGAGUCCUUUGAGAGGGUGGCUGGACACACCCGAAUAAAUAGGGUGACGAGACCACCACGUGUUCACAUGGAGAGGAGCCAGGGUCAUCCAGUCCGGAUGCCUCCUGGACGCCUCCCUGGUGAGGUGUUCCAGGCAUGCCCAGCCAGGAGGAGGCCCCGGGCACGCUGGAGGGAUUAUGUCUCACAGCUGGCCGGGGAAUGUGUCAGUGUUCUACUAGUAGAACUGGAAGAGGUGUCCCACUUCCCGACUACUGCUGCCCCCACAACCAGGACUGGAUAAGCCAAAUAAAAUGGUAUGGAUGUAAAACUAUCAUUGUAAAACUUUAAAAACAUGUUUUGUGUUUGGGCUUUCUUAACUGGACUUACAUUAUUUCUUAUGAGAGAAUUUGUGAGUAUGUUUCGGUUAGAGUUGGACCUUCUUGAACAAAUUAAUAGUGCUAACUGAGGUUCCACUGUACAAAUAGAACGUAUGAUUUAAACGUGGGUCAACUUGUACAAAGACAUUACAAUGAAUUUCACCAUAAAGAAGAUUCCCAAUAGCGGUGUGUCGGUCAUGAAUGGACGGGUCAAAAGAACUAGUUCGUUUUUGUGAACGGAAUGAACAAGGUCACCUAGCCUAAAAUACCCGUACAGCCCUUUCAGUUGCUAAUACUUUUUUUUGAUUGGUUGGAGAGUCAGUUCACCGUUCCUUUUGCAGGGUGGGACUAUCUGCGUGCUUGCCUGUCUUAUCCUAUCGUUACGCCUCACUCUGUGAUUGGAUGGGGUUAGCUGACUGAACGACCGAGACCGAGAGAUUGAACGACACUGUCGGUGACCUCGUUCAUCCGUUGACAAAAAAGAACUAGUUCCUUUGAUCUGUUCGUUCAUGACCAACACCACUUUUCAUCACGUGUUGUUGUGCUGUUGAGUCGGAACCAACGUGAACAUGAGUGAACGGACUGAUUCGACAUAGCUGACCGGGUCUAUGGACAGGGCUAAUGACCAAUUGACCGAAAUGACCGAAAUGAACAGAUCGUUUUACUGAAUGAACCGUAACGAUCCGGUUCACUCAAAUGAACGGUUUUACCACAAAUUCCCAAGCAGUGAUAAUCUUGUUUGAACAUUUAGUGAUGCUAAUAUUAUAAACCAUCACUGAAAGAGCAAAGUGACAAAUCCCUGAAGAAAAAUGUACGUUGCUCAACUCUCGUUCAAGGCCUUAAACACAUUGUGUUUACAAUGAAAUUCCCACAACAAACUCAUUAGAAGACUGUUAUGAUUUGAGCCCUGGGAAGAAUUAGUUUUAGAUUAAAAAUGUAAUCUUGGUAUUAAACAGUGUAAAGCAGUUUUGUCUGUUAUUAAUUUCUAGGGUGUAUUAUCUGCUCACUCAACAGGCCACCACAUUAUCCGCAUACAUUUUUAGAGCAAUACCGAGGCUUAUUAUCAAGUUGAUAAAUGACUGGCCUGGCUUCUUUAGCUUCAGACCAUGUCCUGCUGAUUUGUAUUUACCACAGUGGGAGUGGAGAAAAACCAACGAAAACUGCCAAUAGGAUAAGUGGAAAAAUGGGGUGAGAAAAUCCACAGUGGAGGGAGUGAAAGACAUGAUGUGGCAGUCAGCUAUGCAAUUUGAUGAUGGUAUAAUCAUCCAUCAAAACACAGAAAAUGACAUUGAUCAGAACCAGGACUCGACAACAAUGACCAAAUAAUGAUUAUUUAUAAGGGGUGUUUUGUUUUGUUUUUUGUUCAAAUAACACACUAGAUAAUGUCUGCUGUAUAUCUACAAAAGGUUAAAACAAAAAGAGGAACAGAUGAUUUGCUCACC